AAAUAGUAUUUUUACUACUACUAAUCAAAAGAUAACAACCAUGGGACUUCUUGCCAGUUAGCAGUAUCCUUCUCUAAUGGACAGAAGAAAGAAAAAGGAAUGAAGAGAGAUAUGGAACCUGGGGACCAGUGGGGCAAAGAAGAAUUAACAGCACCUACAUAGCUCUGAUUAUGUCAAGCACUUCGUCUAAAUGUUUGCACAGAUGAACUCAUUUAAGCCCCAGAACAACUCCGUGAGCUGAGUGCUUUUCACACAGCUCAGCUGGCAGGGAGCGCUGAAGAAACCAGAACGCUGGCGGCACAAUUUCAUGUCUGCCCUUCAU
rnacentral:lncRNA from 1 species